AGUUCAUUUGUUUAUUGAGUCGGUUUGGUUCAGUUAGAGUCAAGUAGAGGUUUAUCUAAUAUUUAUUUAUUAUUAGAGUUCAAGUCCUGAUGGACUCUGGGUGGAACUCUAUAAAUAGGGAUGUAACUGCUUCUUUUCAGUAAUCUAUGAAAAAUACUAUUCUGUCUUUUGACAAACCCUAGGAGGCCGAUCCCCUCGAAGUGAUCAAGGAGGGCUGAUCCCCUCGAAGCGAUCAUUAUCAGGAGGCCGAUCCCCUCGAAGCGAUCAUUAUCAUCCCCAUUUCUCCCUUUUCUUCCACGAUAAGACUUUAGGGUCUUAUCAUUUGGUAUCAGAGCGACGAUAAGACCUUUAGGAUCUUAUCAUUUGGUAUCGGAGCCUACGAUAAGACUUUAGGGUCUUAUCAUUUGGUAUCAGAGCGACGAUAAGACUUUAGGGUCUUAUCAUUUGGUAUCAGAGCAGCGAUCCUUGACGUUCUCGCUGCAACGAAACUAUCAAAAAAAAAAAAAACGAAAGAAAAAAGAAAAGAAAAACACGAGAGGAAGAAGAAGCCGCAGCCACCCCUGCGUCCCCUGCUUCCGGCCAGCCCACCCGCCGCUGCUGCUCUCCGGCCAGCGCCCACCAUCGCCCCGCUUCCCGACCGGCGACCACCGCCGUCGCUGUUCCCCGGCCAGGAGACGACGUUACCAGCGUCCAUCCCAGCCCUACUGCCGCCGCCCGCCUCCCAUUGCGUCGCAACGCAACCGCUCGACCUCUCCCCCUCGGCGAUCGUUGGUGACGCUGCUCCCAGCCGCGCCACCACCGCUGCCUCUCCACCGCCGCCCGCCUCCCCUUGGGUCGCAGCCGCAGCCGCAGCCGCCGAUUGUCGCCCUCCUCGCGGCGACCGAAACAGGGCAACUCACGUAUUGCCCUUGUUCCCAGCCGCGUCAUCACCACUUUUCCCAGCCGCAUCGCCGCCGCUCGAUCAUCCGGCCAGCGACCUCUUCUCCUUGCGUCCCCAUCUCGCUUGAGCGAGAAGGACCGCCAGCACCGCAGCCGUAGCCGCCGGCUGCAGCAGCCCCUCCUUGCAGCGGUUGCAGAAACAGAGCUUCCUCUGUUGCCGCAGCCCCGCCUCGAGCGUCGUCGCCUUCCAGCCGACCCACCACCACUGCCAGCCACCGUGCGGCGACCGCUGCUCGCCUCCCAACCGCCGCUCCCCCUGGCUCGGGCGAGAACGACCGCCGCCGCUCCCCCUUGCUCUGCCCCCUUGUGACCGAGAAACAGGGCAAUCCUCUUGCUGCUGCGAACACCGGUUGCCACCACCGUCGCCACUGCUGCCCAGCCAACGACGACGCCGCUCGCUACCCAGCCAGCGACGACGCCGCUCGCCGCCCAGCCUGCCACCGUCGAUUCCUAUUUUCCCCUGCAGCCUCAAUCUCGGCAACACCACCGCAGCCUCCCUCCAACAGCACACGCAGCAAGCUCUGUUUCAGUCGCUUCAACGACACCGUUGUGUCCUCAACCGCACGCGAUCCAUCGACGUCACCAACGCCUUCGUAGUGCGGUAGAGACAGAGCAACGCUGCCUUCCAUCCGCACCGUCGCAACCACUGCAGCGAUAGGCCCUUGGCGACGCUGCCCCCAGCUGUAGCCACAUCAACGCAGUCACCUUCCAACCUCGGCGCUCUCACCCCACGCCUCGAUAGAAACAGGGCAGCUACUCUUCCUCCAACGCAGCGACCGCAACACUGCCCUUGGCGUCCACCUCCUCGGUAACUUCGCAUCUACAGUGUUGAUGCCCUUGUCCGACACCAAAAACAGGAGUUGAGAUUACAGAUUUGCAGUCUUAUGCAAUGGCCACCAAUAACUCAGUAAAAGCACAAAUGGAAGCAUUGGAAAUUAGAAUUGAGAACCGGUUACAAGAAGUACUUAAUGAUUUCAAAAAGGACUUACUGGGGAGCCUUAGUAAAUUUCAAUAAGGUGGGAGCUCAAGUUCUACGUUGCACAGAUAUGAAAAUACAGGAAAAGGGCCCCAAGAUUGUGACACAAUCUACUCAGACAUGAAGGUGGAUGGACAGCUCUCAAAAAUUUGUCAGACUUCUACAGUGUUGGAAUAUCAGAGUAGGUUUGAAAGAUUAUCAAAUCAAGCUAGAGAUUGGUCGGAACGACAACUUCUGGAUACAUUUAUUGAAGGUCUUAUUCCAGAGAUUCGGUGUGAAGUUAAGGCUCGUCAACCCCGCACUAUGAGAGCUGCGAUCUCAUUCGCACAUCUACAUGAGAAAAAAAUCAACAGGGAAAAUCAUGGAAACAGAAGUGACAACAACCGGAUGAUUAGUAAGCCACUGGCCCCAUCUAUUCCCAACCAAAGUCUUGACACCCGAAGACUAACCCAAGAAGAACUCAAUGAAAGAUUAGCAAAGAGUUUGUAUUAUGAUGAAAAAUGGAGUACGGAGCAUCAAUGUAAACAAGGACAACUUCUGAUGAUUGAACCAAUUGGAGAGGAACCGAAAGCUAAGAAUGUGGACUCCGAUCAUGAAGGUAUAAAUUCUAAUGAAGAGGUUGGACCUACCAUACAUACAAUGCAUGCAUUAGCCGACUACUCUAACCCGCAAACUAUGGAAGUUGGCGAAACUCUGGAACAUCAGCCUAUUAUAGUUUUGAUUGAUACUGGUAGCACUAACAAUUCUAUGGACAGUGAGACUGUUGACCGAUUGGCCCAUCACAUUGAAGACUAUGAGAGAUUCGAAGUAAAGAUCAUUGAUGGAUGGAUUUUCACUUGUGAUAGCAAAUGUUCAAAGAUAAAAUUGAUUAUACAAAACCAGAAGUUUCAUGCAACGAUUACUACACUGAAAAAUUGACCUGUUGCUUACACUCUCAAAACGUGGAGACCAUACUUACUUGAUCAACGGGUUGUGAUGCGUUGCAGAUAGGCUAUGGCUAAAGUGCUGAAAGAGAAGCUCCCCGAGAUUGAUACUGCUCAGCCUUGAGGACAAGGCUAAUUUAAAGAGGGAGGAACUGUUAGGACCCUUUUUCUGAGCUUUUGAAUAAUAUUUAUUGAGUCUGUUUAGUCCAUUUGUUUAUUGAGUCGGUUUGGUUCAGUUAGAGUCAAGUAGAGGUUUAUCUAAUAUUUAUUUAUUAUUAGAGUUCAAGUCCUGAUGGACUCUGGGUGGAACUCUAUAAAUAGGGAUGUAACUGUUUCUUUUCAGUAAUCUAUGAAAAAUACUAUUCUGUCUUUUGACAAACCCUAGGAGGCCGAUCCCCUCAAAGUGAUCAAGGAGG
rnacentral:lncRNA from 1 species